GACGAACGCUGGCGGCGUGCUUAACACAUGCAAGUCGAACGGAAAGGCCCCUUUGGGGGUACUCGAGUGGCGAACGGGUGAGUAACACGUGAGUAACCUGCCCUUGACUUCGGGAUAACUUCAGGAAACUGGGGCUAAUACCGGAUAGGAAUCCUUGCUGCAUGGUGGGGGUUGGAAAGCUUCGGCGGUUUUGGAUGGACUCGCGGCCUAUCAGCUUGUUGGUGGGGUAGUGGCUUACCAAGGCUUUGGCGGGUAGCCGGCCUGAGAGGGCGACCGGCCACAUUGGGACUGAGAUACGGCCCAGACUCCUACGGGAGGCAGCAGUGGGGAAUAUUGCACAAUGGGCGGAAGCCUGAUGCAGCAACGCCGCGUGCGGGAUGACGGCCUUCGGGUUGGAAACCGCUUUCAGCAGGGGCGAAGCUUGUGGUGACGGUACCUGCAGAAGAAGCACCGGCUAACUACGUG
rnacentral:rRNA from 1 species